rnacentral:rRNA from 1 species
AUAGUACCGAAGGUCAUGAUCUCACACUGCCAAGAAAAGCCUCUAACCAGGUGAAGGUGCCCGUACCGCAAACCGACACAGGUAGGCGAGAAGAGAAUUCUAAGGCGCGCGGAAGAACUCUCGUUAAGGAACUCGGCAAAAUGACCCCGUAACUUCGGGAGAAGGGGUGCCCCGGUAGUGUGAAUAGCACGAGGGGGCCGCAGUGAAAAGGCCCAAGCGACUGUUUAGCAAAAACACAGGUCUGUGCGAAGCCGCAAGGCGAAGUAUACGGGCUGACGCCUGCCCGGUGCUGGAAGGUUAAGGGGAGCGGUUAGGGGUUUACCCCGAAGCUGUGAACCGAAGCCCCAGUAAACGGCGGCCGUAACUAUAACGGUCCUAAGGUAGCGAAAUUCCUUGUCAGGUAAAUUCUGACCCGCACGAAUGGCGUAACGACUUGGGCGCUGUCUCAACGAGAGAUCCGGUGAAAUUUUAAUACCUGUGAAGAUGCAGGUUACCCGCGACAAGACGGAAAGACCCCAUGGAGCUUUACUGCAGCUUGAUAUUGGAUUUGGGUACGAUCUGUACAGGAUAGGUGGGAGCCUUUGAAACCUGAGCGCCAGCUUGGGUGGAGGCGCCGUUGGGAUACCACCCUGAUCGUAUCUAGGUUCUAACCUGGUACCGUAAUCCGGUAUGGGGACAGUGUCAGGUGGGCAGUUUGACUGGGGCGGUCGCCUCCUAAAGAGUAACGGAGGCGCCCCAAGGUUCCCUCAGAAUGGUUGGAAAUCAUUCGAAGAGUGCAAAGGCAGAAGGGAGCUUGACUGCGAGACCUACAAGUCGAGCAGGGACGAAAGUCGGGCUUAGUGAUCCGGUGGUACCGCAUGGAAGGGCCAUCGCUCAACGGAUAAAAGCUACCCUGGGGAUAACAGGCUUAUCUCCCCCAAGAGUCCACAUCGACGGGGAGGUUUGGCACCUCGAUGUCGGCUCAUCGCAUCCUGGGGCUGAAGUAGGUCCCAAGGGUUGGGCUGUUCGCCCAUUAAAGCGGUACGCGAGCUGGGUUCAGAACGUCGUGAGACAGUUCGGUCCCUAUCUGUCGUGGGCGUAGGAAAUUUGAGAGGAGCUGUCCUUAGUACGAGAGGACCGGGAUGGACGUACCGCUGGUGCACCAGUUGUUCCGCCAGGAGCAUGGCUGGGUAGCUACGUACGGACGGGAUAAGCGCUGAAAGCAUCUAAGCGUGAAGCCCCCCUCAAGAUGAGAUUUCCCAGUAUGUAAGACCCCUUGUAGACGACGAGGUAGAUAGGUUGGAGGUGGAAGUGCAGCAAUGCAUGGAGCUGACCAAUACUAAUCGGUCGAGGGCUUAUCC